rnacentral:lncRNA from 1 species
GAAAGAUGAAUGAUCCAAGUACAAAAUCACUCACCAAUUAGAUUUUUUGUUAUUAAUGGGUUGACUAAGAAGCUUAUGGAACUUAUGAUGGAGUUUCUGGUGCACAUUUUUUUUUCCUUUUGCUUUUGAGAUUUUAAUUCAAAACUAACCAGAUUCAUUACUUUAAUUCUAAAAGUAAAACUCAACUUUUUUUUUUACGGGUAAAACUCAACUUUUAAUAUUUAUAUAUUAAUGCGGAUUCAUGGGACUUUUUGAUAAAAAAAACCUUUUUUGAAUUUUUUUUUUAUAUCAAUUAAUAUACUCUUUCCGUUCUAAGGGGACUUCACUUGGUAAGUCUAGCACUAAUUCCCGCGUUAAGAUACGGAAACACUCCAAAACAAAUAUGGUUAAAGCUAAACUAAAACAAGAAAUACUUGAUUUUGGUAUUGGUUUUGUUUGUGAUCUAAUUAUAUCAUCCAAAUCACCCUUGAUGUGGGCCAACAUUGCUGCCCCCCAAGCAUAUUUCUUGAUCUCCUCACCCAACAGAGGUAGAUAAUGCGGCUGACCGACGCUUGUCCGGGUAGGAAGCAAAACAUAUCCUAAACUGUAAAAUAUGAAGGCCUUUGUCAAUAUCCCAACAUCCACUUGAGAUAUAAUUUCAGGCUUCUGAAAGUGAGCUAAAAGUUUUUUUUAAAUCAACUCCACUUUUCAUUCCUUGUUUUGACUUAAUUGUAAGAAAAUAUUUUGCAACAGGUUUACUCAAAGCAAAAUGCGUUUCUAGGAGUUGGACAUUAUCUUCAUGUAUCAUUCCCGACACCUGCAUCCCAUUGAUGGGAAGUCCGGUAAGAUACAAGAUAUCAUCUAGCUCAAAAUCCAAAUGAAAUUUAUCUGCACUGUUUCCAAAUUUAAAACAACUAUCUUCAACAUUAUAAGUGCUCACGAGAGCACUUACAAAAUUCAGGGGUAAGGACAAAUCCUUUUCUAUAUUCAGCAACUUCUCGCGAAGCAUCAGUAAGAACCCAAAACUCAUUUCUUUAACUUUCUGUUUGACACUAUCAAGAAUUGGAAACUAGAUGAUAGUGUCAAACAGAAAGUUGAAGAAAUGAGUUUUGGAUUCUUAGUGAUGCUUCGCGAUAAGUUGCUGAAUAUAGAAAAGGAUUUGUCCUUACCCCUGAAUUUUGUAAGAGCUCUCGUGAGCACUUAUAAUGUUGAAGAUAGUUGUUUUAAAUUUGGAAACGAUGCGGAUAAAUUUCAUUUGGAUUCUGAGUUAGAUGAUAUCUUGUAUCUUACCGGAUUUCCCAUCAAUGGGAUGCAGGUGUCGGGAAUGAUACAUAAAGAUAAUGUCCAACUCCUGAAAACGCAUUUAGCUUUGAGUAAACCUGUUGCAAAAGAUUUUCUUAUAAUUAAAUCAAAACAAGGAAUGACAAGUGGAGUUGAUUUAAAUAAACUUUUAGCUCACUUUCAGAAGCCUGAAAUUAUAUCUCAAGUGGAUGUUGGGAUAUUGGCAAAGGUCUUCAUAUUUUACGGUUUAGGAUAUGUUUUGCUUCCUACCCGGACAAGCGUUGGUCAGCCGCAUUAUCUACCUCUGUUGGGUGAGGAGAUGAAGAAAUAUGCUUGGGGGGCAGCAAUGUUGGCCCACAUCAAGGGUGAUUUGGAUGAUAUAAUUAGAUCACAAGCAAAACCAAUACCAAAAGCAAGUAUAUCUUGUUUUAGUUUAGCUUUAACCAUAUUUGCUUUGGAGCGUUUCCCUAUCCUAACGCGGGAAUUAGUGCUAGACGUACCAACUGAAGUCCCCUUAUCUCUAGGGUGGAUUGACGUGAUCAUCAAUCAUUUCAGACCAAAAUCAAGUAAGAGAAAAAGUUAUGCAGAGUAGGAAGGGGACUUUAACAAUAUGUUGGUGGAAGAAAUAAAUUGGACGCCAUAUAAUAGGGUGCAAGUUUCUAGAGAUUUUGAGGACC